rnacentral:piRNA from 1 species
UGCCAGGUCAUGCACGAAGGGAGCACCGUGU